AAAAUUAUCUCUAGACGCCUGCUAGGCCUACAAAAUUUAUGACUUAAAGACACCUUGCACUGAGCCUUCCUAAGGUUUGGCCUUGUCAAUCUUCGUUUCUAUUGUAUGUUUCAACUUUCAAGAAUAGAUUCAUGUACAAAGAGAGAAAGAGGUACACAUAUUUUAUGGUUAAUUUUCUCUUUUUUGCAGGAAAGUCCUGAACUGGCUGAUUA
rnacentral:misc_RNA from 1 species